GAUGAACGCUAGCGGCAGGCUUAACACAUGCAAGUCGAGGGGUAGAAGGAGCUUGCUCCUUUGAGACCGGCGCACGGGUGCGUAACGCGUAUGCAAUCUACCUUUUGCAGAGGAUAGCCCAGAGAAAUUUGGAUUAAUACCUCAUAGUAUGUGAGGAUGGCAUCAUUUUCACAUUAAAGUCACAACGGCAAAAGAUGAGCAUGCGUCCCAUUAGCUAGUUGGUAAGGUAACGGCUUACCAAGGCUACGAUGGGUAGGGGUCCUGAGAGGGAGAUCCCCCACACUGGUACUGAGACACGGACCAGACUCCUACGGGAGGCAGCAGUGAGGAAUAUUGGACAAUGGGCGCAAGCCUGAUCCAGCCAUGCCGCGUGCAGGAUGACGGUCCUAUGGAUUGUAAACUGCUUUUGUACAGGAAGAAACACUACUUCGUG
rnacentral:rRNA from 1 species